CGUAGGUGGCAAGCGUUGUCCGGAUUUAUUGGGCGUAAAGCGAGCGCAGGCGGUUCUUUAAGUCUGAUGUGAAAGCCCCGGCUCAACCGGGAGGGUCAUUGGAAACUGGAGAACUUGAGUGCAGAAGAGGAGAGUGGAAUUCCACGUGUAGCGGUGAAAUGCGUAGAUAUGUGGAGGAACACCAGUGGCGAAGGCGACUCUCUGGUCUGUAACUGACGCUGAGGCUCGAAAGCGUGGGAGCAAACAGGAUU
rnacentral:rRNA from 1 species